rfam:Xenopus tropicalis strain Nigerian Chr01_contig_3249, whole genome shotgun sequence.
CCUUCGGUAGCUCAGUUGGUAGAGCGGAGGACUGUAGUGGGAAUUGCAGCUGUCAUCCUUAGGUCACUGGUUCGAUUCCGGUCCGAAGGA